AUCAAAGACCUUGGCUUGACUACUUAGGUCCAAUUAAAAACCAAGCCCAAAUGCUGCAUUUGGCAAUUUGCUCGCAACACACCCCUUCUUCGCGAGGGGGGGGGGGGGGUGCUCGGAGCAACUGAGACAUGUUCAAACGAACAAUAACAUCUAUUUUCCCACGUUCCCGUGAAUAUUUAAGCGGCGGUUACACGUGUGUGCCAUUACAACGACCAUGCAUUCACCCACCUCUAUAAAUAGGAGUCUUCUCGCAGCCUCCAAGGUAGAAUCUCUUUCAUUCUCAAACCCCCCAUUCUAAACCUCUACUGACUUGAGCGUCGGAGUGUCUGCAAGUACACGCCCCUUCAUUCGGUCCAACGCUCACCAUAAUUCUUUCACCAUCGUGAACCACCGCAUUAAACAAAACACCGACAACCACCUUCUUAUCAUGUACGAUUAAACCCUAUAUUCAUUUCCAUCUCAAAUGUCAAGUAACCAUUUCUAGAAGCUACACAUACAAUUAAUCACAUUAUACUAAUUCACUAAUAUUUGCCAGCUAUCAUCUUCUCUCAUACCUUUUUUAUUUUAUUUUACAUAAUAAUAACUCUGCUUCUAAUUAUGGCAGAAGCAAAACUCUAAAGGAGGUUGAAAGGUCACUGGAAACAAAUGGAAUUUCCAAAAAAAAAAAAAAACAUGCUAUUUUUUUAGAUUAUUCUUACAUGAAAGGGC
rnacentral:lncRNA from 1 species